UACGGGGGGGGCAAGCGUUGUUCGGAAUUACUGGGCUUAAAGGGUGCGUAGGCGGCGCGGUAAGUAGGGUGUGAAAUCCCUCGGCUCAACCGAGGAACUGCGCUCUAAACUACCGUGCUUGAGGGAGGUAGAGGUGAGCGGAACUUAGGGUGGAGCGGUGAAAUGCGUUGAUAUCCUAAGGAACACCGGUGGCGAAAGCGGCUCACUGGAUCUCUUCUGACGCUGAGGCACGAAAGCUAGGGUAGCGAACGGG
rnacentral:rRNA from 1 species